CCUGCACUUUGGGAUAAGCCUGGGAAACUGGGUCUAAUACCGAAUAGGACCAUGGACUUCACGGUUUGUGGUGGAAAGCUUUUGCGGUGUGGGAUGGGCCCGCGGCCUAUCAGCUUGUUGGUGGGGUAAUGGCCUACCAAGGCGACGACGGGUAGCCGGCCUGAGAGGGUGACCGGCCACACUGGGACUGAGAUACGGCCCAGACUCCUACGGGAGGCAGCAGUGGGGAAUAUUGCACAAUGGGCGCAAGCCUGAUGCAGCGACGCCGCGUGAGGGAUGACGGCCUUCGGGUUGUAAACCUCUUUCAGCACAGACGAAGCGCAAGUGACGGUAUGUGCAGAAGAAGGACCGGCCAACUACGUG
rnacentral:rRNA from 1 species